rnacentral:tRNA from 1 species
ACUUUUAUAGUUUAAAUAAAAUAAUAGUCUUGUAAACUAUAGUCGGGAAACCUAAAAGUA